CAGUGACCUAUCCAGGAGUGAGAUUAUGGUUAGUGUGGAUAAGAUGACCAUGAUACCUGUGCUUGAUUCUGUGGAACAGUCCUUCUACCUAAUUCCAUUUGCUUUGGGAUAUCCUUGGUACUCAUCAGCCCAUCAAGCAAUUAUUGUGUGUGAACUGAUAAAACAUUCUAGGAGACACAGAGACAUCCUAACCUGCAUAUGCUUCUCUUCAAAGUGUGCGUCCAGUGUGCAUAGUUUCUAAGGAUCAACUUUGUAACUGAACCAUUUGGACUCCUGUCCAGUGUAUGCACUAGUUGGCAUUUCUCCUGCCCAUUUGUUUAAUCUUUCCAACUCAUUUGAUCCUCUGGCAUUAGAGGCGACAGCUGCAAUUGCAUAUGGGUUCAUAAAGUAGCUGAGUAAUAAAAUGCCAUGACCUGAUUCUUGUGUAGUUUUACCAGUGACUGAGCUGGCAACUUAGAAAUGCUACAGAUUGGUUUGGCAGGUCAGACGGAACAUUAUCUUCAUAGGAAGAGAGUUUA